rnacentral:rRNA from 1 species
UGGAAGCGUCUGGAAAGGCGCGCGAUACAGGGUGACAGCCCCGUACACAAAAAUGCACAUGCUGUGAGCUCGAUGAGUAGGGCGGGACACGUGGUAUCCUGUCUGAAUAUGGGGGGACCAUCCUCCAAGGCUAAAUACUCCUGACUGACCGAUAGUGAACCAGUACCGUGAGGGAAAGGCGAAAAGAACCCCGGCGAGGGGAGUGAAAAAGAACCUGAAACCGUGUACGUACAAGCAGUGGGAGCACGCUUAGGCGUGUGACUGCGUACCUUUUGUAUAAUGGGUCAGCGACUUAUAUUCUGUAGCAAGGUUAACCGAAUAGGGGAGCCGAAGGGAAACCGAGUCUUAACUGGGCGUUAAGUUGCAGGGUAUAGACCCGAAACCCGGUGAUCUAGCCAUGGGCAGGUUGAAGGUUGGGUAACACUAACUGGAGGACCGAACCGACUAAUGUUGAAAAAUUAGCGGAUGACUUGUGGCUGGGGGUGAAAGGCCAAUCAAACCGGGAGAUAGCUGGUUCUCCCCGAAAGCUAUUUAGGUAGCGCCUCGUGAAUUCAUCUCCGGGGGUAGAGCACUGUUUCGGCAAGGGGGUCAUCCCGACUUACCAACCCGAUGCAAACUGCGAAUACCGGAGAAUGUUAUCACGGGAGACACACGGCGGGUGCUAACGUCCGUCGUGAAGAGGGAAACAACCCAGACCGCCAGCUAAGGUCCCAAAGUCAUGGUUAAGUGGGAAACGAUGUGGGAAGGCCCAGACAGCCAGGAUGUUGGCUUAGAAGCAGCCAUCAUUUAAAGAAAGCGUAAUAGCUCACUGGUCGAGUCGGCCUGCGCGGAAGAUGUAACGGGGCUAAACCAUGCACCGAAGCUGCGGCAGCGACACUAUGUGUUGUUGGGUAGGGGAGCGUUCUGUAAGCCUGUGAAGGUGUACUGUGAGGUAUGCUGGAGGUAUCAGAAGUGCGAAUGCUGACAUAAGUAACGAUAAAGCGGGUGAAAAGCCCGCUCGCCGGAAGACCAAGGGUUCCUGUCCAACGUUAAUCGGGGCAGGGUGAGUCGACCCCUAAGGCGAGGCCGAAAGGCGUAGUCGAUGGGAAACAGGUUAAUAUUCCUGUACUUGGUGUUACUGCGAAGGGGGGACGGAGAAGGCUAUGUUGGCCGGGCGACGGUUGUCCCGGUUUAAGCGUGUAGGCUGGUUUUCCAG